GACAGAGGUGCCGAGCGUUAGGCGGAAUCACUGGGCUUAAAGCGUGUGUAGGUGGAUGCCUAAGUACCUUGUGAAAUCCCACGGCUUAACCGUGGAACUGCUUGGUAUACUGGGUGUCUUGAGCCAGCUAGGGGCUACCGGAACAAAUGGUGGAGCGGUGAAAUGCGUAGAUAUCGCUUGGAACGCCAAUGGUGAAAACAGCUCGCUGGGGGUGUGCUGACGCUGAGACACGAAAGCCAGGGGAGCGAACGGG
rnacentral:rRNA from 1 species